CGCUCGGGCUCCUGCGUUCCCCUGUCUGGGGCCAGCCGCGUCCGCGCCGCGAGAGGCGAGCCCAUGCCGCCGGAGGAGGCGUUCUGCCGCCCCCGCGGGAGCCUCCCGCCCCUGCGCCGCCGUUUCCCAGCUCCCGGUGCCCUCGGCCCUGUACAGGGCAGCAGCUGUCUGUAGUGAGGCCGCCCGAGUAAAGCGGUGAGCUGCCCGGCGCAGCCAGCCGCCCCCUCGGCCCGGGCGGUUUCCUCCCCCUGUAGCUGUGCGAAGGUAGCUUGAAGGGAGCCCGAAAAGCCUUGGUUUCUUCAGCCAAGGCGCUGGAAACGUGCUCCAACCAACCGGGGGUUUGCGUCUUUUUGUCAGCUCCGGUCGGGAUUUUUCUGGUUUGGGAGGAGUUACAUGAAGUGGUGCUGUUGAAGACCUGCUGAAACUUGUAGUUAAACUCUCUCCAGAGUGGAUUUUCAUCGAUGAAUGCUAAUUUAAACAGUGAGGACAAAGGAACAGUGAAGAUUUUUUUUAAAAAAAGAACAGAACUGUAAACAGCUGAAUCCUCAAAAGGUAUAAAGUAGUAUUUCUCUGCUCUGAAGUCCCACGUGCACUGCAUAUUCAUGAAUGCAUGUCUCUCUUCAGUAUAUCUUUGGCAUAUUGCCAUAUUUAACGUAGAGUAAAAACUUUAAGAUUUCAUCAACUUACUCUGUUGAAAAAGCACAAAUGACAUGGCAAAAUAAAAUACAACUUCCAAGUAGAAAAAGGAGAAGGCAUGAAAGCAAGCAAGAUAUAUUACAUAUGCUGGUUAUACUGUGCAACAUUGGUAAAUUCUAAUCAGAGCGAAAGCCCCUUUCGAUUGAAAAGGAGCUAAUGUAGGUAGGACAGAUUGGUAGAAAAAUUCUUUUAAAUGCAGUAGUUUGCUGUUCUUGAAAAAAAAUUAUCUCAUUUUCUAUGAAAGCUUGUCUCCACAAAAUGUCUUCUGGGUCCUUAGCAGUUGUGAUUUCAUAUUUGGUACAGUGAUAGGAAGGGUGAGGAAAAUUGCUGUGUGAGGUUUAAUCCUCCCUUGCUUCUGAAGGAUGAAGAAGCUGAACUAUCAUCCCCAGUACAUGUUACAGUAGUCCCAAGUCUGCUUUAGCUUAUCGUGAAGCAAACAGCUCCUUAAGGACAAUUCCCCACUACCCCAAAACUGCUAGAAUCCAUUGCACUCUCCAGAAUGCUCCCUGCACCAAGAAGGUGGAGAGCAUUUGCCAAAUGUGUGAUUCUACUUUGCUUGCUGAGGGU